rnacentral:sRNA from 1 species
ACGUCGGCACCAGCUGCGGGGCAAGAUGGAGGCGCUGAUUUUGGAACCUUCCCUGUAUACUGUCAAAGCCAUCCUGAUUCUGGACAAUGAUGGAGAUCGACUUUUUGCCAAGUACUAUGACGACACCUACCCCAGUGUCAAGGAGCAAAAGGCCUUUGAGAAGAACAUUUUCAACAAGACCCAUCGGACUGACAGUGAAAUUGCCCUCUUGGAAGGCCUGACAGUGGUAUACAAAAGCAGUAUAGAUCUCUAUUUCUAUGUGAUUGGCAGCUCCUAUGAAAAUGAGCUGAUGCUUAUGGCUGUUCUGAACUGUCUCUUCGACUCAUUGAGCCAGAUGCUGAGGAAAAAUGUAGAAAAGCGAGCACUGCUGGAGAACAUGGAGGGGCUGUUCUUGGCUGUGGAUGAAAUUGUAGAUGGAGGGUAAGUUCUCUGACCUGCCUUGAUCUUGGGUGAGGUGGCGGGAUAACUGCCCCUGUCCUGUCAAGCAGGCUCAGUGGCCAGAGGUCCUGUUCCCCGACAGUGAGUUGGGCCUUCGGGACAGAGUGA